rnacentral:rRNA from 1 species
GACGAACGCUGGCGGCGUGCUUAACACAUGCAAGUCGAACGGAAAGGCCCUGCUUUUGUGGGGUGCUCGAGUGGCGAACGGGUGAGUAACACGUGAGUAACCUGCCCUUGACUUUGGGAUAACUUCAGGAAACUGGGGCUAAUACCGGAUAGGAGCUCCUGCUGCAUGGUGGGGGUUGGAAAGUUUCGGCGGUUGGGGAUGGACUCGCGGCUUAUCAGCUUGUUGGUGGGGUAGUGGCUUACCAAGGCUUUGACGGGUAGCCGGCCUGAGAGGGUGACCGGCCACAUGGGGACUGAGAGACGGCCCAGACGCCUACGGGAGGCAGCAGGGGGGAAUAUGGCACAAUGGGCGGAAGCCUGAGGCAGAAACGCCGCGUGCGGGAUGACGGCCUUCGGGGUGUAAACAGCUGUCGCCUGUGACGAAGCGUGAGUGACGGUAAUGGGUAAAGAAGCACCGGCUAACUACGUG